UCCUUAGCCUCCCGCAGAUGUGCGGGGUGGGGCCCGGGACUGAGCGCGCGUGCCGCCAGCACCGGCCUAAGGGCCCAACACGCCCUGACUCACCGAACCACGUUCCCCGCACCCGGGGAAGCUUUCAGAUCAUGAAACUGAGGCUCGGGAGGAGCUAAAGAAGCCCUCCGAGGUCACGUGUCCUGUGGAGAACUCUAAUAGAAGGCUUCAGUAAGAAUGACUUUUUGAAGGAGGCACAAAGAAAUGCAACAACGCCUGAACAUGCAGAUGUGCUGUGUAUCCUGUCUGUGAACAGCAAAACUUCAGCCAUCUGAAGCCUUUGGAUGCGAAGACAAGCCUAAUUUUCUCGAGAGUUAAGUUUUACCCAUAAGGGAUGUUUCUAAAUUACGUCACCCAUUUUCCUCGCUUCUGAAACAAAGGAUGCUGGGGAGGUUUUCGUUUUUGUUUUGGCCGCCCAAGACAUGUGGGGUUCCCUGUUCAAGGAUCAGAUCCUAUGCUGUAGCUGCAGCAACACUGGAUCCUUUAGCCCGCUGGACUGGCCUGGGGAUCAAACCUGCGUCCUGGCACUGCAGAGAUGCCGCCAAUCCCGUUGGGCCACAGCAGGAACUUCUGGGCAUGGGUUAAACUUACCUUGAAGAAAUCUCACCAUCAUUUCAAACACUUAGGUUCUGAAUUUUGCUAAAAGCUCUGAUGACUGCUGGUAGCAUCAAGAACGCUGGAGCUCUUCACUCGGCAGCUCCAGAGUUGUUGGUUUUUUUGUUUUGUUUUUCAUCUUUCUGCUACUUUUUGAUCAUUUCCCCCCGGCCCCCCUUACAUUUCUUGCUCACUGUUAUUUCUCACUGCUUUCAAUCUGGCUGAUUGUGACCCUCAGCUGGCUCUGCUUCUCAGCUUCAGAAAUCAUCAAAGUUAUGAGAAAUCUACACAGAGAAAAUAGGUUGUGGUUGAGAGCCAGGACCUGUCCUUGGCCAUUCUGUGGGGCUGAGUUCCGUGGAUGCGAGGCGACGCGGUCUGUGCUGCUUCCCUCCUCUAGUCCAAAGGCAGGAUGUGGUCUGAGUUUCCCUCGCCUUGAUGGGCCUGUGGCCCGAGGGUUCAGAUAGACAAUAGCCACGGAAACAGCAGGCUCUGGAAGCAGAUGGUGAGUGUGGCUGGCACUUUGCACUUUUGCAGAAUACUGAGUCUCAUCCUCAGGUUUGAGCUUCGGCAGCCAGAGCUGACUGUGGGUUGCUUUAAUCUUGUUUGCAGAUGUCAGCAGAAGAAAGGCUCGCUGAGUUUGGCUCAGUGCGGUGGCAUUUCAGACUCGGAAACUCAGAGUUACCUUUGAAAUCCGAGCACAAUUUCACGUUUAGGGAUGUGUUUUGAAAGUAGAAACUGAUUGUAAUCAAACAUGAAAAGGCAAUUGUUGUUCGUUUUUAAUCACCCAACCCGAGUGCGGUUAACUGCUUUUGUUGACAGGUGUGGUUCUUAUUGAAAGUAAGAAUCGUGAGUAAUUCUUGCUGAAAUGGACACGCUUGGUCUGGCAAACACUUUUUUUUUUUUUUUUUUUCCUCGAUUUUUAGGGCCAUGCCUGUGGCAUAUGAAGUUCCCAGACUAGGGAUCGAAUCGGAGCUGCAGCUGCCGGCCUACACCACAGUCACAGCAACUCGGGAUCUGAGCUGCGUCUGCGACAAGCUGCAUCUGUGACCUACACUGCAGCUCACGGCAACACCAGAUCCUUAACCCACUGAGCAAGGCCAGGGAUCGAACCCGCAUCAUCAUGGAUACAAGUCAGGUUCAUAACCUGCUGAGCCACAAUGGGAACUCCUUAAUGAUUUUUUAAUAAGAAGCCAUGCAUUUCCAUUUUGCACUGGGCCCUGCAAUUUAUGUUGCCAUUUUCUGGCCAACGUGGAAUAGGAUCAUGGAAUAUCAGAGCUGGAGGCAAUUUAAGAGAUCAGCCUUUCAAAACCCCUCAUUUUAAACAUGGAGGGACUGAGGCCAAAACAAAAAAUGGAAGCGGCCCAAGGUCACAGGACCGUGGGUGGCUGAUUGAGACCCAGGAGACUCCCCCAGUCUUGAGGUCUCUCAUGAUCACAGCCUCUUUGUCCUACACAGAGACAGUGCUUCCUGCCCAGUUAAUUCAUGAAUAGGGAUGAGAAGCAAAUUGAACGAUAAUCUAAGCAGUUAAUACAGCGGACUUUAAAUUUUCCGUGUAUCCCCCUUCUUCCAACACACGUUGCAGGAAGGAACCCGUUUUGACUGUAACAUUCCACAGUGGCUGUUGACUAGCAGGGAAUUCUUAUGGAUGGUGUAAAAAUGAGGCUAAAACGCUCAAAAAUGCUCGCAAUUUCCCUGAAUUAAAAACCUGAGUGGCGUUUUUUUCCCUGCUUACAAAAGAAAUACAUUCUCAUGGUUGGACAUGAGGAAACUGACCAAGAAGGAAAAAAAAAAAAAGACCAUGCCACAGUUGUAGAUUCUUCCCCGUGUUGUUUUCCACGCAUGUGCGUUAUUUAUACAGCUGAUCUCAAAGGCUCUUUGCUGAGCCUUUAUGUGCCAGUUAAUGUUAUAGUCGGCUAAACCGUGUGAAAUUGCUGUUUGUGUAGGUCCAAAAGGGUUGAAUAUUGGCAAUUUGAUGUUCAACCAAAUUGCAAACGUGUUUCCUUCAAAUCAUAGCAUAUUCUUUGUAAACAUCCCAUUUAUGGGCUGUAUAAAAUUCCAUCAUGUGGCUGCAUGCCGUUAUGUAGCAUUUAUGGAAGGGUGUUAUCCUAGUUUAUAUCAUAAUUCACAUUAUUAAAUAUAAUCGUCUGCUUAUCAUUAUAAUACUCUUAUUAUAGCCAUGAUCUUCUUCUUCUAACAUCGUCCAAAAAUAAUUAUACGCAAGUAGCUAUAUGUCAUGUUAUGGUCAAGCAUUUCCUCCUUUUAAAAAUCAUGCAUAGAUGUCCUAUUCUUUUAAAAAUCAUUUUAUUUUUAUGUUAAAGGGGUGUUUUAUUUUGAAAGCUUGAAAAAAGUAGAAGGAAAGCGAGAAGUAAAAUCAUCACCCUGAAAUGUAAUCCUCAGGGCAUUUCUUUCUGGUCUGGGUUUCCUGCGUUUAUAUGCAUCUGAAAGCCUGCACUUUGCACGGUCCCCGAACAGCAUGUGGUGAACAUUACGUAGAAUAUUAUGAAUCUGAUGAAGUGCAUUCCCAGGACUGUGGGAAAGGAGCUCCUCAAAGUGAGGUCCUUGGAUCCGGGCCAGUCGCUGAGCGCAUGUCUGUCACCGUCUGUGCGGAGACAACUUCAGAAACUGAGGGCAAACUUUGAAGGAACUUUUAUAGUAACCGGACAUUGCCUGGCACCCAAG
rnacentral:lncRNA from 1 species